UACGAAGGGGGCUAGCGUUGCUCGGAUUUACUGGGCGUAAAGGGCGCGUAGGCGGUCGUGACAAGUCACUUGUGAAAUCUCCGGGCUUAACUCGGAACGGUCAAGUGAUACUGUCGGACUAGAGUACAGAAGGGGCAACUGGAAUUCUCGGUGUAGCGGUGAAAUGCGUAGAUAUCGAGAGGAACACCUGCGGCGAAGGCGGGUUGCUGGGCUGAUACUGACGCUGAGGCGCGAAAGCCAGGGGAGCGAACGGG
rnacentral:rRNA from 1 species